UGGGGAAUUUUGGACAAUGGGCGAAAGCCUGAUCCAGCAAUGCCGCGUGUGUGAAGAAGGCCUUCGGGUUGUAAAGCACUUUUGUCCGGAAAGAAAUCCUUGGCUCUAAUACAGUCGGGGGAUGACGGUACCGGAAGAAUAAGCACCGGCUAACUACGUGCCAGCAGCCGCGGUAAUACGUAGGGUGCAAGCGUUAAUCGGAAUUACUGGGCGUAAAGCGUGCGCAGGCGGUUUGCUAAGACCGAUGUGAAAUCCCCGGGCUCAACCUGGGAACUGCAUUGGUGACUGGCAGGCUAGAGUAUGGCAGAGGGGGGUAGAAUUCCACGUGUAGCAGUGAAAUGCGUAGAGAUGUGGAGGAAUACCGAUGGCGAAGGCAGCCCCCUGGGCCAAUACUGACGCUCAUGCACGAAAGCGUGGGGAGCAAACAGGAUUAGAUACCCUGGUAGUCCACGCCCUAAACGAUGUCAACUAGUUGUUGGGGAUUCAUUUCCUAGUAACGUAGCUAACGCGUGAAGUUGACCGCCU
rnacentral:rRNA from 1 species